rnacentral:rRNA from 1 species
GAUGAACGCUGGCGGCAUGCCUAAUACAUGCAAGUCGAACGGAAGCAGCAAUGCUUUAGUGGCGAACGGGUGAGUAACACGUAGGGAACCUACCUAUACGACGAGGAUAACUACUGGAAACGGUAGCUAAAACUGGAUAGGAUCAAUUGAGGCAUCUUGAUUGAUUUAAAGAUCCUUCGGGAUUACGUAGAGAUGGCCCUGCGGCGCAUUAGCUAGUUGGUGAGGUAACGGCCCACCAAGGCGACGAUGCGUAGCUGAGCUGAGAGGCUAAACAGCCACACUGGGACUGAGACACGGCCCAGACUCCUACGGGAGGCAGCAGUAGGGAAUUUUCGGCAAUGGGGGAAACCCUGACCGAGCAAUGCCGCGUGAACGAUGAAGGUCUUCGGAUUGUAAAGUUCUGUGAUUGGGGAAGAAUGGUAUUCUUAGGGAAUGAGGAGUACAUGACGGUACCCGAUUAGAAAGCCCCGGCUAACUAUGUGCCAGCAGCCGCGGU